rnacentral:rRNA from 1 species
GAUGAACGCUGGCGGCGUGCCUAAUACAUGCAAGUCGAGCGAACAGAUAAGGAGCUUGCUCCUUUGACGUUAGCGGCGGACGGGUGAGUAACACGUGGGUAACCUACCUAUAAGACUGGAAUAACUCCGGGAAACCGGGGCUAAUGCCGGAUAACAUUUAGAACCGCAUGGUUCUAAAGUGAAAGAUGGUUUUACUAUCACUUAUAGAUGGACCCGCGCCGUAUUAGCUAGUUGGUAAGGUAACGGCUUACCAAGGCAACGAUACGUAGCCGACCUGAGAGGGUGGUCGGCCGCACUGGAACUAAUGCGCGGUCCAGACGCCUACGGGAGGCGGCAGUAGGGAAUCUUCUGGAAUGGGCGGAAGCCUGACGGAGCAGCGCCGCGGGGGGGAGGAAGGUCUUCGGAUCGUAAAGCUCUGUUAUUGGGAGAGAACAAGGGUGGAAGUGUUUGUGCGCGGCUUGACGGUAGCUAGACAGAAAGCCACGGCUAACUACGUG